rnacentral:rRNA from 1 species
AGAACGAACGCUGGCGGCACGCCUAACACAUGCAAGUCGAGCGCCCAGCAAUGGGAGCGGCGGACGGGUGAGUAACACGUGGGAAUAUGCCUUUCGGUACGGAACAACUCAGGGAAACUUGAGCUAAUGCCGUAUACGCCCUUACGGGGAAAGAUUUAUCGCCGAAAGAUUAGCCCGCGUCUGAUUAGCUAGUUGGUGAGGUAAUGGCUCACCAAGGCUUCGAUCAGUAGCUGGUUUGAGAGAACGACCAGCCACACUGGGACUGAGACACGGCCCAGACUCCUACGGGAGGCAGCAGUGGGGAAUCUUGGACAAUGGGGGAAACCCUGAUCCAGCGAUGCCGCGUGAGUGAUGAAGGCCUUCGGGUUGUAAAACUCUUUCGACGGGACGAUAAUGACGGUACCCGUAGAAGAAGCUCCGGCUAACUUCGUGCCAGCAGCCGC